rnacentral:rRNA from 1 species
ACAUGCAAGUCGAGCGAAUGGAUUAAGAGCUUGCUCUUAUGAAGUUAGCGGCGGACGGGUGAGUAACACGUGGGUAACCUGCCCAUAAGACUGGGAUAACUCCGGGAAACCGGGGCUAAUACCGGAUAACAUUUUGAACCGCAUGGUUCGAAAUUGAAAGGCGGCUUCGGCUGUCACUUAUGGAUGGACCCGCGUCGCAUUAGCUAGUUGGUGAGGUAACGGCUCACCAAGGCAACGAUGCGUAGCCGACCUGAGAGGGUGAUCGGCCACACUGGGACUGAGACACGGCCCAGACUCCUACGGGAGGCAGCAGUAGGGAAUCUUCCGCAAUGGACGAAAGUCUGACGGAGCAACGCCGCGUGAGUGAUGAAGGCUUUCGGGUCGUAAAACUCUGUUGUUAGGGAAGAACAAGUGCUAGUUGAAUAAGCUGGCACCUUGACGGUACCUAACCAGAAAGCCACGGCUAACUACGUGCCAGCAGCCGCGGUAAUACGUAGGUGGCAAGCGUUAUCCGGAAUUAUUGGGCGUAAAGCGCGCGCAGGUGGUUUCUUAAGUCUGAUGUGAAAGCCCACGGCUCAACCGUGGAGGGUCAUUGGAAACUGGGAGACUUGAGUGCAGAAGAGGAAAGUGGAAUUCCAUGUGUAGCGGUGAAAUGCGUAGAGAUAUGGAGGAACACCAGUGGCGAAAGGCGACUUUCUGGUCUGUAACUGACACUGAGGCGCGAAAGCGUGGGGGAGCAAACAGGAUUAGAUACCCUGGUAGUCCACGCCGUAAACGAUGA